rnacentral:rRNA from 1 species
UCUUUGCUGACGAGUGGCGGACGGGUGAGUAAUGUCUGGGAAACUGCCUGAUGGAGGGGGAUAACUACUGGAAACGGUAGCUAAUACCGCAUAACGUCGCAAGACCAAAGAGGGGGACCUUCGGGCCUCUUGCCAUCGGAUGUGCCCAGAUGGGAUUAGCUAGUAGGUGGGGUAACGGCUCACCUAGGCGACGAUCCCUAGCUGGUCUGAGAGGAUGACCAGCCACACUGGAACUGAGACACGGUCCAGACUCCUACGGGAGGCAGCAGUGGGGAAUAUUGCACAAUGGGCGCAAGCCUGAUGCAGCCAUGCCGCGUGUAUGAAGAAGGCCUUCGGGUUGUAAAGUACUUUCAGCGGGGAGGAAGGGAGUAAAGUUAAUACCUUUGCUCAUUGACGUUACCCGCAGAAGAAGCACCGGCUAACUCCGUGCCAGCAGCCGCGGUAAUACGGAGGGUGCAAGCGUUAAUCGGAAUUACUGGGCGUAAAGCGCACGCAGGCGGUUUGUUAAGUCAGAUGUGAAAUCCCCCGG